AUUAACUCGUCCAAAUCUCAAAGUUAUAAUUCCAGUAUUGAGUGGCAACCAAAAAUUUGAGCAACGUUUUCGCGGGAGCAACUCAAGAAGUCAACAAUGUCGCUUCACUCAGCAUUCAGAGAAAGGCUUCGAGAUAUGGAGAACACUCGCAAUCUGAGACUCUCUCUCCUCCAGGUUUUGCUCUUCAUUGACCUCAUUUAUCACCAUCACCAUCACCAUCACCAUCACCAUCCUAAUCUCUUCUCACUCACACUCUAAAAAUGGAACCAACUUUUGGUUUUAGGACGAAAAAGAUCUACAAAGGAGUAAAUCUCUUUUAUUAUCAGCUAAACAUGCCAAAAUCAGAUUAAUGGAGCAGAAAUGCUUGAUGUUAGAUCGCAAAUUUGCAUCCGACAACUUCAAAAUAUCUUCUCUCAAAUGUGAAAUUGAAUUCCUCGAUCGGAAAUAUGAAACCUGCGCUCAACAAUUAAGGGAUUUGAAAGUUAAGGUAGAGGAACUUGAGGAAUUGACAACGGAGAGAAGAAUUUUUACGCUGUUAAAUGCUCUGAAAUGUGCGAUUUUAAGACUGAGAUUCAGAAGUCUGUUGAAGAAAUCAGUCACAGAAUCAAUGAAUUGAGGUAUAGUAGAGAUAAGCUCAAUCUAUGCCACUUAGGACUUCAAGAGAGGAACCGCAAGGAAUUAAACCAUGACAUAGAAGCUGCUGAGAUGAGAAAGUCAGAACUUUUAGCUUUGAAGCAAAAGGUGAACAGUAGCCUGGAAUCUAAUAAAGAAUUGAGAGCAGAGUUGCAAGAGCAGCUUCAGAGUUUGAGGUGAUAGAUAAAAGUAGACUCUCAUGUGCAUACCAGAGAAGAAAGAAUUUUUUGCAGAGCUUUCUCUCUCCUCUAUGGCGUCAUUGAUGGAGUAAUAUUUCAAAGUUUUAGGUCGAUUUUUCGCAAACUCACACUAUUCUUCCAUUAUUCAACAGGUAUUACUCGAAAUUUUUAAUUUGAUAUUAUUUACUUGCAGAUUUUUGUUCGAUUUUUUUCUGAUUUCAAUGGCGUUUUUUGUUUGAUUUUUCUUCGAUUUUGUUAGACUCUUGUUCGAUGUUUGUUCGAUUUUGUUCGACUCUUGUUCGAUGUUUGUUCGAUUUUGUUCGAUUUUUGUUCGAUUUUUGUUCGAUACAGGAAUUAGGUUUUAAGCUGUGGCAAAAACUAUCGAUAGAGGAAGUAGGUUUUACUUGUGGCAAAAUUUAUGAUACAGCAGAGGGUCACUAUGAUAAAUCAAAGGGUCACCAUGAUAUAGAAAUAGGAAAUUUUAUUUUUUGUUGACUAAUUUCUUUAAACAUGUGAUAGAUGGGUUACUAUGAUAUAACACAUGGUCACUAUGAUAUUUUUUCAUAGUUUUA